GAGCACACGGAGGAUGCCUAGGCGCCAGGAGCCGACGAAGGACGUGGCGAACAACGAAACUGCCUCGGGGAGCUGUAAGCAAGCUUUGAUCCGGGGGUGUCCGAAUGGGGAAACCCAGCUGUGGUAAUUCGCAGUUACUCAUACCUGAAUACAUAGGGUAUGUAGAGGCAGACCAGGGGAACUGAAACAUCUAAGUACCCUGAGGAAGAGAAAACAAUAGUGAUUCCGUCAGUAGCGGCGAGCGAACGCGGAACAGCCUAAACCAAGAGGCUUGCCUCUUGGGGUUGUGGGACGUCUCAUAUGGAGUUACAAAGGAAUAUGGUAGGUGAAGAGGUCUGGAAAGGCCCGCGAUAGAGGUAAAAGCCCUGUAACCUAAACUGUGUUCUCUCCGAGACGGAUCCCGAGUAGUGCGGGGCACGUGAAACCCCGUAUGAAUCCAGCAGGACCAUCUGCUAAGGCUAAAUACUACCUGGCGACCGAUAGUGAAACAGUACCGUGAGGGAAAGGUGAAAAGCACCCCGGAAGGGGAGUGAAAUAGAACCUGAAACCGUGUGCUUACAAAAAGUCAGAGCCCGUUUUAGGGGUGAUGGCGUGCCUUUUGUAGAAUGAACCGGCGAGUUACGUUUAACAUGCAAGGUUAAGGUGAGAAGCCGGAGCCGCAGCGAAAGCGAGUCUGAAUAGGGCGACUGAGUAUGUGGACGUAGACCCGAAACCGUGUGAUCUACCCCUGUCCAGGGUGAAGGUGCGGUAACACGCACUGGAGGCCCGAACCCACGCAUGUUGAAAAAUGCGGGGAUGAGGUGGGGGUAGCGGAGAAAUUCCAAUCGAACUCGGAGAUAGCUGGUUCUCCCCGAAAUAGCUUUAGGGCUAGCC
rnacentral:rRNA from 1 species